AGUUCAACGAGGUGGAUGAAACUGGAGCCUGUCAUUCAGAGUGAAGUAAGUCAGAAAGAAAAACACCAUGUGCUGACCCCUGCGAUUUCCCCAAAUGUGGGAAACUCGACUGCAUAAUUUGUGGUAGUGGGGGACUGCGUUCGCGCUUUCCCCUG
rnacentral:snRNA from 1 species